rnacentral:rRNA from 1 species
UACGUAGGGUGCAAGCGUUAAUCGGAAUUACUGGGCGUAAAGCGUGCGCAGGCGGUUGUGUAAGACAGAUGUGAAAUCCCCCGGGCUCAACCUGGGAACUGCAUUUGUGACUGCACGGCUCGAGUGCGGCAGAGGGGGAUGGAAUUCCGCGUGUAGCAGUGAAAUGCGUAGAUAUUGGGAGGAACACCAGUGGCGAAGGCGGCUCACUGGACCGGUACUGACGCUGAUGCGCGAAAGCGUGGGGAGCAAACGGG